UUCCUCCCGGUCCCUCAGGGCUGAGUUGUGGGCUGCGCCACUGGACCACUGGGCGGUUCUCCCCAGCUGCAGGCAAUGUGCUGUUCACACACCUGUCUCCUGUGAUCAUCAGAACUGGCUUUUAUACCCUGCCAUCCCCUCAGUUCUCCGCUGGAUUAUUCAGUCAUGUUUGAAGUGUUUCUGGAGACCCUGCUCAGCUACUGUGUCACUCUGCCUAUGGAGGAACGCCUUGCUGGAAACUCACCUUCGUGGACUCAUGUCUCCGUCAGCUCCUCCUCACCAGCCUCGCCUUCCCCCGCAGUUACCUGCCACCACACGCCACACCGGAGGAACCAUUCCCCUUGCAUUAAACCUUAUCUUGUUUUUCAAUAAACUGUAAAAAUCCUCCUAA